UGUACCAGAUGCUGAAGGGGCUGAGGGUACGGGCCCUGGGGGAGGCUGCAGGGAAGCAGGCAGGGCCUUGGGGCUGGGCAGAGGAGGGCCCUGUGGCUCUGAGGUCUUGGUGUGCUGAAGCCUGCCAAAUCCUCUGCCCCCGCAGUAUAUCCACGCUGCUGGCAUCAUCCACAGAGUGAGUCCCGGUGGAGGAGCCGCCCAUCAGCCCUCCCCCAGUGCAAUCCCCCCGCCUCCACGUCCCACCUGUGAGGAUCUGAUGGGGUCUGGGGGCUGAGCCACGCCCCAUGCACAGCCCCUGGUGGGAGCCUGCCUGGGUGCCCAGGUACCUCGGUCUGUCCUUGAAGGGCUGCAGAGAGCAAGGGGGCCAGGUCUGGUGGCCCCAUCUUUAGGUGCCACCCAGGCUCUUGGCUGUGCCCAUGCUCGGGAGGGUGGGGCACAGUAGCCACCUUUCCUCUGCCCCCAGGACCUGAAGCCCGGCAACCUGGCUGUGAACGAAGACUGUGAGCUGAAGAUCCUGGACUUCGGCCUGGCCAGGCAGGCAGACAGUGAGAUGACUGGGUACGUGGUGACCCGGUGGUACCGGGCUCCCGAGGUCAUCUUGAAUUGGAUGCGCUACACGCAGACGGGUGAGAAGCUGCCCAGAGAUUUGGGCCUUUCAGCCUGUACCAUCUGCUUCUCCACUUCUUCACGGAGAGCCCUGUGGUGGCUGCUCCCCAGGGAGGCUGUUGAGCUGGGGUGGGAGCCGGGCAGGUGGGCUGUGUCGGUGUCUCCUCCCUCCCCGUCUCAUCCUGUCCCCCUGCCCACGGAGCUGACCAGGGCUUCUAUCUCAGUGGACAUCUGGUCUGUGGGCUGCAUCAUGGCAGAGAUGAUCACAGGCAAGACGCUGUUCAAGGGCAGCGACCGUAUCCUCCAGCAGCAGGGUGGCACCAGGGGCGGGUGGGGAUGGCUCCUGCCCAGGUGGGAGGGUUCCAGGGGGUUGGGGAUGGCUCCUGCCCAGGAGGGGGCAGUGGGGGCCCUGAUCUCUGGCCCCCGAGCUGUGUUCCUGACCUCGGUGCAGACCUGGACCAGCUGAAGGAGAUCAUGAAGGUGACGGGGACGCCUCCGGCUGAGUUUGUGCAGCGGCUGCAGAGCGAUGAGGCCAAGAACUACAUGAAGGGCCUCCCCGAAUUGGAGAAGAAGGAUUUUGCCUCCAUCCUCACCAAUGCAAGCCCUCUGGCUGUGAACCUCCUGGAGAAGAUGCUGGUGCUGGAUGCGGAGCAGCGGGUGACAGCGGCCGAGGCGCUGGCCCAUCCCUACUUUGAGUCCCUGCACGACACGGAAGAUGAGCCCCAGGUCCAGAAGUAUGAUGACUCCUUUGACGACGUGGACCGCACACUGGAUGAAUGGAAGCGUGAGUGGGGGGCGCCGGGCAGGGCCUGUGUGGACCCGAGUGGGGAGCUCUGGGCAGGGCCUGUAUGGACCUGUGAGUUGGGGGCUCUGGGUAGGGCCUGUGUGGACCCGGUGGGCCCUGUGCAGGUGGCCAGGCUCAAAGUCCUAGAUCCCUGUCCCUGGGAUGCAGGUCAGGUGAGGAGGACGGGAGGUCAGAGGGCAGCGUGGGGCCGUGUGGCCUGGUGGAGAUGACCUCUGGCUGGAGCUGGAAGAUGAAGGGAGGGUGUUCCUGGCAGGCUCAGCACAGAGGCUGGCACAGAAGGAGCCGGAAAUGGUGAAAGGCAGCUGUGAGUCAGGGAACCAGGGCCCACUUAGCCCCUCCUGGCCUCCAGACCUGCUGCCCUUCCGCCAUGUCCAGGCCAGAGACCUGGGCCACCCUGACACCCUUCCCACGUCCGCUUGUCCCUAAGGCCUCUCUGCUCACACCUCCUGAAUCUGUCCUUGCCUCUCCUUGCCCCAUUUUUUUUUUUUUUUUUGAGACGGAGUCUCACUCUGAUGCCCAGGCUGGAGUGCAGUGGCACGAUCUUGACUCACUGUAAGCUCUGUCUCCCGGGUACACACCAUUCUCCUGCCUCAGCCUCCCGAGUAGCCGGGACUACAGGCGCCUGCCACCAUGCCUGGCUAAUUUUUUGUAUUUUUAGUAGAGUCGGGGUUUCACCGUGUUAGCUAGGAUGGUCUUGAUCUCCUGACCUCGUGAUCCACCCGCCUUGGCCUCCCAAAGUGCUGGGAUUACAGGUGUGAGCCACCGCGCCCAGCCCUCUCCUUGCCCCACUUUAUUAUCCCUCCCCCCUGGACAACUGUAUACCCAAGACAGUCCCCGGGGCCUCGCCUGUCUCCCCCAGCUCCCCUGAGCAGUCCAGACCCCAAACCCAACUGCUGGGGUCCAUCAUCCCCUAUACCAAGGGCUAUCCCCUCAUCUUGGAGGGCUGGCCAAGGCCUGUGCAGCCUCAGGCUGGACUCAGGGAAGCCUCCCCAGCUCCCACAGCUAUGCUGUGGCCUGAGGCUGUGCUGGACCUGGCUUCAUUUCUGCUCCAGGAUGGCAGGCUGUGUCUUCUUCAUGGCUGCAUGACCAGCCUGGGGUGGGGGUACCUGGGGACAGUAGCUGUACACUGGGAGCAGUGCCGUGUUUCAGGCCCUGUCCUGGCUCUGCCUCGGGCGCAGGACCUUGGUCCUCCACACUGGCUGGGUGGGGCCGGAUGGGUUGAGAUUCACCUGUGCUCCUUAGGGCCACGGGUCCCUGGGUGCCUGCAGCAGGGCCUCCACCCUUAGCUGUGUGCGUAUUCGUGUGCUUAUGAGUUUGGCUUUAUUUGAUUAAAGGUUUCUGCUGCUAGAAAGAUGACUUGAAA
rnacentral:sRNA from 1 species